rnacentral:rRNA from 1 species
UACGUAGGUGGCAAGCGUUGUCCGGAUUCAUUGGGCGUAAAGGGCGCGCAGGCGGCCCGGAAAGUCGGAUGUGAAAACUCGAGGCUCAACCUCGAGCGUGCACCCGAUACUGCCGGGCUUGAGGCAGGUAGGGGAGAUCGGAAUUCCUGGUGUAGCGGUGAAAUGCGCAGAUAUCAGGAGGAACACCGGUGGCGAAGGCGGAUCUCUGGGCCUGUCCUGACGCUGAGGCGCGAAGGCCAGGGGAGCAAACGGG